AUCUCUUAGCGGUGGAUCACUCGGCUCGAGCGUCGAUGAAGGACGGAGCUAGCUCCGAGAAGUAAUGUGAAUUGCAGGACACAUUGAGCAUCGAUAUUCUGAACGCGUAUUGCGGCCUCGGGUAAUCCUGGGGCCACGUCCGUCUCAGGGUCU
rnacentral:rRNA from 13 species